AUAAAAAUAUUUACACACAACUUUGGAUUGGAUUUGGAAUGACAUCUUGACGCGGGUUGUGGUUGCCGUGGUGACGGCAGUAGUCACGUGAUUUGCGGCGACGAAGAAAUUAGGCAGCUCCGUGUCUGAAUCGCCAAGAGAAUGAUGGAGCUAGAAAAG